rnacentral:rRNA from 1 species
UACGAAGGGGGCUAGCGUUGCUCGGAAUCACUGGGCGUAAAGCGCACGUAGGCGGCUUUUUAAGUCAGGGGUGAAAUCCUGGAGCUCAACUCCAGAACUGCCUUUGAUACUGGGAAGCUUGAGUCCGGGAGAGGUGAGUGGAACUGCGAGUGUAGAGGUGAAAUUCGUAGAUAUUCGGAGGAACACCAGUGGCGAAGGCGGCUCACUGGUCCAUUACUGACGCUGAGGUGCGAAAGCGUGGGGAGCAAACAGG